GGGUUGUGAGGUUAAGCGACUAAGCGUACACGGUGGAUGCCCUGGCAGUCAGAGGCGAUGAAGGACGUGCUAAUCUGCGAUAAGCGUCGGUAAGGUGAUAUGAACCGUUAUAACCGGCGAUUUCCGAAUGGGGAAACCCAGUGUGUUUCGACACACUAUCAUUAACUGAAUCCAUAGGUUAAUGAGGCGAACCGGGGGAACUGAAACAUCUAAGUACCCCGAGGAAAAGAAAUCAACCGAGAUUCCCCCAGUAGCGGCGAGCGAACGGGGAGCAGCCCAGAGCCUGAAUCAGUAUGUGUGUUAGUGGAAGCGUCUGGAAAGGCGCGCGAUACAGGGUGACAGCCCCGUACACAAAAAUGCACAUGCUGUGAGCUCGAUGAGUAGGGCGGGACACGUGGUAUCCUGUCUGAAUAUGGGGGGACCAUCCUCCAAGGCUAAAUACUCCUGACUGACCGAUAGUGAACCAGUACCGUGAGGGAAAGGCGAAAAGAACCCCGGCGAGGGGAGUGAAAAAGAACCUGAAACCGUGUACGUACAAGCAGUGGGAGCACGCUUAGGCGUGUGACUGCGUACCUUUUGUAUAAUGGGUCAGCGACUUAUAUUCUGUAGCAAGGUUAACCGAAUAGGGGAGCCGAAGGGAAACCGAGUCUUAACUGGGCGUUAAGUUGCAGGGUAUAGACCCGAAACCCGGUGAUCUAGCCAUGGGCAGGUUGAAGGUUGGGUAACACUAACUGGAGGACCGAACCGACUAAUGUUGAAAAAUUAGCGGAUGACUUGUGGCUGGGGGUGAAAGGCCAAUCAAACCGGGAGAUAGCUGGUUCUCCCCGAAAGCUAUUUAGGUAGCGCCUCGUGAAUUCAUCUCCGGGGGUAGAGCACUGUUUCGGCAAGGGGGUCAUCCCGACUUACCAACCCGAUGCAAACUGCGAAUACCGGAGAAUGUUAUCACGGGAGACACACGGCGGGUGCUAACGUCCGUCGUGAAGAGGGAAACAACCCAGACCGCCAGCUAAGGUCCCAAAGUCAUGGUUAAGUGGGAAACGAUGUGGGAAGGCCCAGACAGCCAGGAUGUUGGCUUAGAAGCAGCCAUCAUUUAAAGAAAGCGUAAUAGCUCACUGGUCGAGUCGGCCUGCGCGGAAGAUGUAACGGGGCUAAACCAUGCACCGAAGCUGCGGCAGCGACGCUUAUGCGUUGUUGGGUAGGGGAGCGUUCUGUAAGCCUGCGAAGGUGUGCUGUGAGGCAUGCUGGAGGUAUCAGAAGUGCGAAUGCUGACAUAAGUAACGAUAAAGCGGGUGAAAAGCCCGCUCGCCGGAAGACCAAGGGUUCCUGUCCAACGUUAAUCGGGGCAGGGUGAGUCGACCCCUAAGGCGAGGCCGAAAGGCGUAGUCGAUGGGAAACAGGUUAAUAUUCCUGUACUUGGUGUUACUGCGAAGGGGGGACGGAGAAGGCUAUGUUGGCCGGGCGACGGUUGUCCCGGUUUAAGCGUGUAGGCUGGUUUUCCAGGCAAAUCCGGAAAAUCAAGGCUGAGGCGUGAUGACGAGGCACUACGGUGCUGAAGCAACAAAUGCCCUGCUUCCAGGAAAAGCCUCUAAGCAUCAGGUAACAUCAAAUCGUACCCCAAACCGACACAGGUGGUCAGGUAGAGAAUACCAAGGCGCUUGAGAGAACUCGGGUGAAGGAACUAGGCAAAAUGGUGCCGUAACUUCGGGAGAAGGCACGCUGAUAUGUAGGUGAAGUUGCUCGUGGAGCUGAAAUCAGUCGAAGAUACCAGCUGGCUGCAACUGUUUAUUAAAAACACAGCACUGUGCAAACACGAAAGUGGACGUAUACGGUGUGACGCCUGCCCGGUGCCGGAAGGUUAAUUGAUGGGGUCAGCGCAAGCGAAGCUCUUGAUCGAAGCCCCGGUAAACGGCGGCCGUAACUAUAACGGUCCUAAGGUAGCGAAAUUCCUUGUCGGGUAAGUUCCGACCUGCACGAAUGGCGUAAUGAUGGCCAGGCUGUCUCCACCCGAGACUCAGUGAAAUUGAACUCGCUGUGAAGAUGCAGUGUACCCGCGGCAAGACGGAAAGACCCCGUGAACCUUUACUAUAGCUUGACACUGAACAUUGAGCCUUGAUGUGUAGGAUAGGUGGGAGGCUUUGAAGUGUGGACGCCAGUCUGCAUGGAGCCGACCUUGAAAUACCACCCUUUAAUGUUUGAUGUUCUAACGUUGACCCGUGAUCCGGGUUGCGGACAGUGUCUGGUGGGUAGUUUGACUGGGGCGGUCUCCUCCUAAAGAGUAACGGAGGAGCACGAAGGUUGGCUAAUCCUGGUCGGACAUCAGGAGGUUAGUGCAAUGGCAUAAGCCAGCUUGACUGCGAGCGUGACGGCGCGAGCAGGUGCGAAAGCAGGUCAUAGUGAUCCGGUGGUUCUGAAUGGAAGGGCCAUCGCUCAACGGAUAAAAGGUACUCCGGGGAUAACAGGCUGAUACCGCCCAAGAGUUCAUAUCGACGGCGGUGUUUGGCACCUCGAUGUCGGCUCAUCACAUCCUGGGGCUGAAGUAGGUCCCAAGGGUAUGGCUGUUCGCCAUUUAAAGUGGUACGCGAGCUGGGUUUAGAACGUCGUGAGACAGUUCGGUCCCUAUCUGCCGUGGGCGCUGGAGAAUUGAGGGGGGCUGCUCCUAGUACGAGAGGACCGGAGUGGACGCAUCACUGGUGUUCGGGUUGUCAUGCCAAUGGCACUGCCCGGUAGCUAAAUGCGGAAGAGAUAAGUGCUGAAAGCAUCUAAGCACGAAACUUGCCCCGAGAUGAGUUCUCCCUGACUCCUUGAGAGUCCUGAAGGAACGUUGAAGACGACGACGUUGAUAGGCCGGGUGUGUAAGCGCAGCGAUGCGUUGAGCUAACCGGUACUAAUGAACCGUGAGGCUUAACCUUACAACGCCGAAGGUGUUU
rnacentral:rRNA from 1 species